CGCCUGGGGAGUGCGGCCGCAAGGUUAAAACUCAAAUGAAUUGACGGGGGCCCGCACAAGCGGUGGAGCAUGUGGUUUAAUUCGACGCAACGCGAAGAACCUUACCUGGCCUUGACAUGCAGAGAACUUUCCAGAGAUGGAUUGGUGCCUUCGGGAACUCUGACACAGGUGCUGCAUGGCCGUCGUCAGCUCGUGUCGUGAGAUGUUGGGUUAAGUCCCGUAACGAGCGCAACCCCUAUCCCUAGUUGCUAGCAGUUCGGCUGAGAACUCUAGGGAGACUGCCGGUGACAAACCGGAGGAAGGUGGGGAUGACGUCAGGUCAUCAUGGCCCUUACGGCCAGGGCUACACACGUGCUACAAUGGUGCGCACAGAGGGCUGCAAACCCGCGAGGGGGAGCCAAUCUCACAAAACGCAUCGUAGUCCGGAUCGCAGUCUGCAACUCGACUGCGUGAAGUCGGAAUCGCUAGUAAUCGUGAAUCAGAAUGUCACGGUGAAUACGUUCCCGGGCCUUGUACACACCGCCCGUCACACCAUGGGAGUGGAUUGCACCAGAAGUGUUUAGUCUAACCUUCGGGAGGACGAUCACCACGGUGUGGUUCAUGACUGGGGUGAAGUCGUAACAAGGUAACCGUA
rnacentral:rRNA from 1 species